GAGCCAUUAGCUCAGUUGGUAGAGCAUCUGACUUUUAAUCAGGGGGUCAGAGGUUCGAAUCCUCUAUGGCUCA
rnacentral:tRNA from 1 species